GGCGGACGGGUGAGUAACACGUGGGUAACCUGCCUGUAAGACUGGGAUAACUCCGGGAAACCGGGGCUAAUACCGGAUGGUUGUCUGAACCGCAUGGUUCAGACAUAAAAGGUGGCUUCGGCUACCACUUACAGAUGGACCCGCGGCGCAUUAGCUAGUUGGUGAGGUAACGGCUCACCAAGGCGACGAUGCGUAGCCGACCUGAGAGGGUGAUCGGCCACACUGGGACUGAGACACGGCCCAGACUCCUACGGGAGGCAGCAGUAGGGAAUCUUCCGCAAUGGACGAAAGUCUGACGGAGCAACGCCGCGUGAGUGAUGAAGGUUUUCGGAUCGUAAAGCUCUGUUGUUAGGGAAGAACAAGUGCCGUUCAAAUAGGGCGGCACCUUGACGGUACCUAACCAGAAAGCCACGGCUAACUACGUGCCAGCAGCCGCGGUAAUACGUAGGUGGCAAGCGUUGUCCGGAAUUAUUGGGCGUAAAGGGCUCGCAGGCGGUUUCUUAAGUCUGAUGUGAAAGCCCCCGGCUCAACCGGGGAGGGUCAUUGGAAACUGGGGAACUUGAGUGCAGAAGAGGAGAGUGGAAUUCCACGUGUAGCGGUGAAAUGCGUAGAGAUGUGGAGGAACACCAGUGGCGAAGGCGACUCUCUGGUCUGUAACUGACGCUGAGGAGCGAAAGCGUGGGGAGCGAACAGGAUUAGAUACCCUGGUAGUCCACGCCGUAAACGAUGAGUGCUAAGUGUUAGGGGGUUUCCGCCCCUUAGUGCUGCAGCUAACGCAUUAAGCACUCCGCCUGGGGAGUACGGUCGCAAGACUGAAACUCACAGAAAUUGACGGA
rnacentral:rRNA from 1 species